GGGAAUGUGGCUCAGUGGUAGAGUGCUUGCCUAGCAUGCAUGAAACACGGGGUUCGAUUCCUCAGUAAAACCCA
rnacentral:tRNA from 1 species